GGGCCGGUAGCUCAGCUGGGAGAGCGCUGCGUUCGCAAUGCAGAGGUCGGGAGUUCGAUCCUCCUCCGGUCCACCA
rnacentral:tRNA from 6 species